rnacentral:miRNA from 1 species
AACUCCCUCAGAACAGGCCAGCU